rnacentral:rRNA from 1 species
AGCGGAGGAAAAGAAACCAACAGGGAUUGCCCUAGUAACGGCGAGUGAAGCGGCAACAGCUCAAAUUUGAAAUCUGGCCCUCGGGUCCGAGUUGUAAUUUGUAGAGGAUGCUUUUGGUGCGGCGCCUUCCGAGUUCCCUGGAACGGGACGCCAUAGAGGGUGAGAGCCCCGUACGGUUGGAUGCCUAGCCUCUGUAAAGCUCCUUCGACGAGUCGAGUAGUUUGGGAAUGCUGCUCUAAAUGGGAGGUAAAUUUCUUCUAAAGCUAAAUACUGGCCAGAGACCGAUAGCGCACAAGUAGAGUGAUCGAAAGAUGAAAAGUACUUUGAAAAGAGGGUUAAAUAGCACGUGAAAUUGUUGAAAGGGAAGCGCUUAUGACCAGACUUUUUCCUGGCGGAUCAUCCGGCGUUCUCGCCGGUGCACUUCGCCAGGUUCAGGCCAACAUCGAUUUUUGCCGGGGGAUAAAGGCUUCGGGAAUGUGACUUCCUUCGGGGAGUGUUAUAGCCCGUUGCGUAAUUACCUGGCGGGGAUCGAGGUACGCGCUCUGCAAGGAUGUUGGCAUAAUGGUCAUUAGUGACCCGUCUUGAAACACGGACCAAGGAGUUGAACAUUUGUGCGAGUGUUUGGGUGUUAAACCCUCACGCGUAAUGAAAGUGAACGGAGGUGAGAGCCUUAGGGUGCAUCAUCGACCGAUCCUGAUGUUUUUGGAUGGAUUUGAGUAAGAGCAUAACUGUUUGGACCCGAAAGAUGGUGAACUAUGCGUGGAUAGGGUGAAGCCAGAGGAAACUUUGGUGGAGGCUCGCAGCGGUUUUGACGUGCAAAUCGAUUGUCAAAUUUGCGCAUGGGGGCGAAAGACUAAUCGAAC